AUCCUUCCGGCGGCCGAAGUAAUCGACGAACAAGGAGACGGUUUCGUCGUCGUGGGAGAAGGCGGCGUUGGAGUCGAGCCAGUCGUUGAACCCUAGAGCGGCGCGGCCGGCUUCAGGGGAGAGGUUGAGCGUGUGGAGGAUCAGAUCGCGAGUUGGAGCGAUGUGGGAGAAGCUGAGGUGGAACCUCUGGGAGAUGGAGUGGGGAUCGGCUUCGGGGGUUCCGGUGAGCUCCUUGGAGAAGGAGAGAGCGAUCUGAGUCGGGUCUGGAGUUGGUGGAUCCGCCGCAUUGGUUUCGGAUGAGAAGAGUCUUGAAGGGAAUAGAGAGAACCUGGGAGGUGGAGGGUGGGGAAAUGACGUGGUGGGGGAAAUGAUGCGGAGAGGAGGGGCGGAGGAGGAUGAGGUGAAGGUGCGGAGGAGGAGUCGCCGGAGUUGCAGAGACGGUAACGGCGGCGGCAUUUUCGAAUUAGGGUGAGGAAAUGAGAACUCGGGGGAGAGGAGAAGCAAGGCAAGUAAUAUCCAAAACCCUACUUCAUGAAUAGAAUUGGGCUUCACUUUUGGGCUUUUGAAUUGAUUCAGCCUCUUCUGAAUUAAUACUUUAAAAAGUAAAUGUAUUAAGAAUCGUUCGGGGAUGUAGCUCAUAUGGUAGAGCGCUCGCUUCGCAUGCGAGAGGCACGGGGUUCGAUUCCCCGCAUCUCCAAUUUUCUUUUAGACACACGUUGUGUAAAUCUAAAGCUUGAAUCUUCCUCACCAGUUAAACACACUGCAAUAAAAUCUCCGGAAACUUUCACAGAUUUAGGGUUCUUCUUGUCCCUUUCCAAGUCAAAUUCGUAGUUUUUUUUUUUUUUUAAUUUGUUCGCCUAUCCAGUCUUCAUCUCGCCGGGGAGUAAAAAAAAAACAAGUCUUUUGAAUUUUGUAAUCAGGUGAGUAUCUCUCUGUCUUCAAUGAAACCUCAAUUUUUCGCGAUAGCAAAUCCUCGUUUUACCGUUUUGAGUUUCUGAGAAUAGUUUGGGGUUUAAUAAGAAAGUAGCGAUGUUGGCAAUUGAGAUUUAGGUUGGAGAUAAGUUUAGUGUUUUAAGGCGACGAUGAAAUCAUUCAUUGUCUGAUGAACUCUAUGUUCUUUUUGACAGUGACGUUUAGCCUGAGAGAGCACAAAAGGAUGCAUCUUCCCAUGUACACUAGUGGAACCUCUAAUCCUUCACCAGGAAAUGCCCUUCCUAAUCAGAUGCAUUUGCAACAGAAUCAUGCGCCUCCCCACCACGCCCCUCCUCCACCUCCUGCUUCCUCACAGCAGUUUCAUUCUCAUCUUCCACCUGUUUCAAUGUUGCCUCCCCCGCCACCUUUACCUCCUGGUGCCACGCCACUCUCACAAGCAUUCCCUAAUCCGUUUCAUCCUCCACCAAGCUUCCCACUUUCUUUUCCUCUGAAGAGCUUGGAACCUCCUGGGAUGCCUCUUCCUCCACCUCCUCCUUCAUCUUCAUCCCCACUCUUUGCAGACACCGUUUGUGCUAACCCUGAAGCUACAAACCAGGUUGGUGAAACGGUGCCUCUAAACUACAAGUGAAACCUAACUUGGAUGCAACAAGAGAGCAUUUUCAGACAAGUGAAUAACCAAGCAAAAAGCAAAGAACUUUCUUUUAUCUCCGAUUCUUGAGCCAACCCAUAACAAGUGUCUAAACGUUACACUAAGCUGAAAGAUUAUUCGGCUACUGAUCAAAAGUUCACAGUACCUUCUCACAAAACAAUAACAAGGAAAGAAGAACAAAGACUGUUUUGAACCAUAAGAGAAUGCUACCGAUCACAUUCUCCUCCUCAUCUUAUUAUGCGGUUUCUUAACAAAACUCAUGUUGAUCUGCUUGAGCCUUCUCCUCUUCCUCGCGGUCUUCUCAGGCAAAGUCUCCCUCUUCUUCACAUUGCUAUCAACCUCCUUACUCUUCUUCUUCAAAAACCUCGGAUCAACUCUGUACUCCUUAGGACUAACAGCAACACCUCUCCUCGCAGCUUCUUUGUACAAACCAUUAGCUCUAGUCAGCUGGUUAUUCGCACACAUCUUCCCCAUCAACAAAUCAUAAGUCUUGAUCCCAGGCUUACACCCAUCAGCCUUCAUGUUCUUGAACACACUCAUCGCAUGCUCAAGCCUCUCAAUCCCACACAGUAUCUUCAAAAACCCGUAAUACUCCUUCUUAUCCAAAGCCUUACCGUACCCAGCCGACUUCAUCUUAUCAAUCAUUUCAUCUCCUUCUCCGAUCCUAGCCGCCUGAUACAAACUCCUUAUCAAAACAAGAUAAGUCUCAGCAUCCGGCUGACAACCCCAUUCACUCAUUCUACCGAACAACUCCAUCGCCUCUUCGGUUCUCCUGAUCUUAGAGAGAUUGUUAAUCAACACAUUGAAAGUCUUUGUAUUUCUCGGCACGCCACGUGUCUCCAUCUCGAGCAAGACCUUCUCGACUUCGGACUGGAGCCUAAACGGAUCUUUCUUCCUACAAAGCUUACACACACAAUCAAGAAUCACGUUGUAAGCCAACGUACCUAUCUCGAACCCUCCUCUCGCCAUCUCGCCGGCGAAUCUCGUCGCCUCGUCGAGCUUCUCGGCGGCGCACCAGCCGCUGAUCAACAGAUCGCAGAUCUUUUCGUCGGGGAAGAUCUCGUUAGCCGUGCUCUUCACCAUCUUCUCGGCGAAACUCGCGUGUCCUUUCUCGCAGAGCUUCUUCACCACCAAGGUGAGCGACUCUCUGUCUCGUUUCAACCCGUAGUCACUCUCCAUCCUCUCGAAGAACUCGACGGCCUGCUUGGCUCGGCCCGCGCGGACGAGCCUGUCGACGGCGGAGUCUAAAGUUUUAGCUCCGGCGACGCCUUUGUACUUGGCGAUGAUCUCUUGCAUCCCUUUGAAAUCCUUCCGGCGGCCGAAGUAAUCGACGAACAAGGAGACGGUUUCGUCGUCGUGGGAGAAGGCGGCGUUGGAGUCGAGCCAGUCGUUGAACCCUAGAGCGGCGCGGCCGGCUUCAGGGGAGAGGUUGAGCGUGUGGAGGAUCAGAUCGCGAGUUGGAGCGAUGUGGGAGAAGCUGAGGUGGAACCUCUGGGAGAUGGAGUGGGGAUCGGCUUCGGGGGUUCCGGUGAGCUCCUUGGAGAAGGAGAGAGCGAUCUGAGUCGGGUCUGGAGUUGGUGGAUCCGCCGCAUUGGUUUCGGAUGAGAAGAGUCUUGAAGGGAAUAGAGAGAACCUGGGAGGUGGAGGGUGGGGA
rnacentral:lncRNA from 1 species